CGCGGUGGAACUCAGGUGCGCUGACAGUGGUUGGUCCAUUUCAACAACCACCGUGGAGUCCAUGCCGUGCUACUGCAAGCCGACGUGGAUCUCGAACUGGAACCGGAUUCCAAACCGGAACCAGUAGUGUUGCUGCUUAAUGUACAGAUUACAGAACAUCCCUUGCCGGCUUGCCCCAUGUCUCCGAAGAAAUCAACCAAUUCAUCAGAGCAAGAGGUGUGGAACCGGUGAGUGAGACUUCCACCUCUCAGUCGAUUGAUUGGAAAUUGCAUCUGUUUCUGCCGCAAUAUCCAGUCAUCCAACUAUAAUGAGUAAGAGUAAGAGUAAUUGUUAUGAACGUAUUACCCGACUGGUUCGCUACAUUUCCUUGUCCCCUCUUGAGUGGGGGAAUGCCAAUACUUGUAGAUUGCUCUCCCAAAGGUCUCGAAUUCACAGUUUUUUUCCCUUUCCACCAGAAGGUUAGUUCAUUUCAGUUUGACAGUCUGAUUCAGAGGAAGAAAGCCUGAUGCAACUUGUUACACGUGUUGCAAACAGGGGCCGGUAUGCCUCCCAAUCGGCAGUGGCUCUGGGCUGAUAGAAAAUUGGUCGUGGCCUCAUGGGAACUUGAGUGUUGUCUUCAAAGUUCUUAACUGGAUAGAUGGUUGGUUGUAUGCAGCAAAACGGAGCAAGCAGUUGCAUAAUCAGGUCACGUUUUUGAGAAGGCAACAUCACGUGAUGUUUGGACUUUGGAGCAUCAAACCGAAGAAUUUGAUGCAUAAGAUGUCGCUACCACUACCAAAUCUGUAGGUUUUCUGUUCAAGUGGCAAUGGGUGCCAUCAACCUGGCAAAACAAUGGCCAUCCGUCCAUACAAAACUAAUGGAUUGAUCAUUAGAGCGCCGACUAUAAUUUCACAAGAUUGUGAACUUUGGAUUUGUGCCAAGUUAGCUCUUUUAGAUGGUGGGCACAUGCCGGUACACCCUGCAUUUAAAUGGCUGUGGCAUAGCUCCUGUCAGAACAAGCAUCACGUGUUUUUUUGGCUGAUCUAAUAAAUAAACUAAACACCAGAGGUGUUCUGAGGAGAAGGAACAUGGAUAUAGAAAAAAAAAAUUGAACGCAGAUGGAUUUAGAAAAUUAUAAUUGUGUUUUAUGUAGUGAACAGACUGAAGAAUCAAUUGAACACUUAUUUAUCAGCUGCCAAUUUGCAUCUGAAGCUUGGCAAUCCAUCAACCUAUCUGUCAAUUCUGGAAUGCAACCACUGCAAAACCUAGAAUUCCUCAGAGCACAGAUCAACCAGAGUUUCUUUAUGGAAAUCAUCAUUCUUUUUUGCUGGGCAAUCUGGAUGAGCAGGAACAACUACGUCUUCAGAGAUAUCCCACCUUCUGUUCAAGGGUGUAAAACAAUUUUCAGAGCUGAGUUCCUUUGGCUGCUAUGCAGGGUAAAGAGUAAGUACUUCCCUAGAAUCCAAGAAUGGAUAGACAAUCUACCUUAACUUGGAGGCCUUUAGUUUGGUCAUUUCUUUUUUUCAGUUUUCCCUUUUUAGUUCCCUAGCCCCUUUUCUUUGCUCACUCUACCACUGUUAUUUAUGUAACUGUACCUGGGUUUUUUUUUCAAUACAUGCUGCAGUAGGGGCUUCUUGCCCCUCCUGAUCUUUCAAAAAAAAAAGAUGGUAUGCAAGUUUUUUUCCCCCUUUUUUAGCUUUUUUUAGUGGACCUUUUUUUAGCUAAAAAUUAGCUGUUCGGCCUUGUGGUCCUUGUGUCAAACCUUGUCAUUUUUAUCGUUCACGUAGACUAUAUAUGUGAUUGUAAUGAAUAUCAUUUCAAUAAAAAUUUAAAAUUA